rnacentral:rRNA from 1 species
GACGAACCGUGCGAACGUUGUUCGGAAUCACUGGGCUUAAAGGGCGCGUAGGCGGCCUCUUUGGUCGUGGGUGAAAUCCCCCAGCUCAACUGGGGAAGUGCUUACGAUACCGGGGGGCUCGAGGGAGGAAGGGGCGGCCGGAACUGUCGGUGGAGCGGUGAAAUGCGUUGAUAUCGACAGGAACGCCGGUGGCGAAAGCGGGCCGCUGGCCCUCUUCUGACGCUGAGGCGCGAAAGCCAGGGGAGCGAACGGGAUUAGAAACCCCAGUAGUCC